GAGGGUAUCGCUCAGUGGUAGAGUGACUGCUUAGCAAGCAUGAGGUCCUGGGUUCAAUCUCCAGUACCUCCA
rnacentral:tRNA from 1 species